UAUCGGGCUGACUUACCAUGCAGUCGAACGGCAGCGCGGACUUCGGUCUGGCGGCGAGUGGCGAACGGGUGAGUAAUGCAUCGGAACGUGCCCAGUAGCGGGGGAUAACUACGCGAAAGCGUAGCUAAUACCGCAUACGCCCUACGGGGGAAAGGGGGGGAUCGCAAGACCUCUCACUAUUGGAGCGGCCGAUGUCGGAUUAGCUAGUUGGUGGGGUAAAGGCCUACCAAGGCGACGAUCCGUAGCUGGUUUGAGAGGACGACCAGCCACACUGGGACUGAGACACGGCCCAGACUCCUACGGGAGGCAGCAGUGGGGAAUUUUGGACAAUGGGGGCAACCCUGAUCCAGCCAUGCCGCGUGUGCGAAGAAGGCCUUCGGGUUGUAAAGCACUUUUGGCAGGAAAGAAACGGCGCCGGAUAAUACCUGGCGUAACUGACGGUACCUGCAGAAUAAGCACCGGCUAACUACGUGCCAGACC
rnacentral:rRNA from 1 species